GGAGGGGUGGGUUUUCCCUCCUCCGCCUGAUCGGAGCCAGUGGAGUCCAAAUCCCCCGAACCCCAGUGGGGCCGGUGUCGAGCCUGCGGCGUCCAUCCCGGAAGACGCGGUCCCUGAAACUUGAAUAUGCCCAAGCGUGGCACUAGUGGUAAAGAAUCUGCCUGCCAAUACAGGAGACAUAAGAGAUCCUGGUUUGAUCCCUGGGAUGAGAAGAUUCCCUGGAGGAGGGCAUAGCAACCCACUCCAGUAUUCUUGCCUGGGAAAUCCCACGGACAGAGGAGCCUGGUGGGCUACAGUCUAUGGGGUCGCAAAAGAGUCGGACAUGACUUAACGACUAAACAACAACGUUGUCAUGUAUGGAUGUGAGAGCUGGACCAUAAAGAAGGCUGAGAGCCGAAGAAUUGAUGCCUUUGAACUGUGGUGUUGGUGAAGACUCUUGAGAGUCCCUUGGACUGCAAGGGGAUCAAACCUGUCAAUCCUAAAGGAAAUCAGUCCUGAAUAUUUAUUGGAAGGACUGAUGCUGAAGCUGAAGCUCCAGUACUUUGGCCACCUGAUGCAAAGAGCUGACUCAUUAGAAAAGACCCUGAUGCUGGGAAAGAUUGAAGGCGGGGGAGAAGGGGGCAACAGAGGAUGAGAUGGUUGGAUGGUUGGAUGGUAAACUCAAUAGACAUGAGUUUGCGCAAGCUCGGGGAUUUGGUAAAGGACAGGGAAGCCUGGCAUGCUGUAGUCCAUGGGGUCGCAAAUAGUUGGACAUGACUGAGCAACAGAACAACAAGUCAUUCAUGCCCCUUGUGUUAAUAUAUGAUCAUUGUUAUCCAUUCACUUGUGAGUGGACAUUAUGCUUGUUUCCAGUUGUUGACCCUUAUUUCCAACGCUGCUAUAAACAAUGUGUGGAAAUUUUCUGGUGUACACAAGCAGGCUUCAUCUAGGGUAUACAUACCAAGAAGUGGAUUGCUCAGUUGUAAGGUUCUGACUUGGCCCAGAAUACUCUCGAGUCUUGCCCCUAUAACCCCUAUGCAGUCCAUCCCUCUGUGCUCUGUUCCAGAACAAUGACUUGCCGUUACUUCCUGUCUUUAGGACUUAGAUCAAACCUGGAAUGCCUAUCCUCCCCUCUUCCAUCUCCUCUCUUCUCUUUGAAGUCCAGCUCAGGGCUCCACCUCUCAGGCUGACGACCAGUCUCCUCUGCAUAUUUUGGACUUGAGGAGGAAAUAGUGCUAAGCUCCGGCUCUGCCAUCUCCUGGUCUUGUAAUUUUAAAAUAUGUUUUCAUCUAUGUGGUCCUCAGAUCCGCA